rnacentral:rRNA from 1 species
GACGAACGCUGGCGGCGUGCCUAAUACAUGCAAGUAGAACGCUGAAGGAGGAGCUUGCUUCUCUGGAUGAGUUGCGAACGGGUGAGUAACGCGUAGGUAACCUGCCUGGUAGCGGGGGAUAACUAUUGGAAACGAUAGCUAAUACCGCAUAAGAGUAGAUGUUGCAUGACAUUUGCUUAAAAGGUGCAAUUGCAUCACUACCAGAUGGACCUGCGUUGUAUUAGCUAGUUGGUGAGGUAACGGCUCACCAAGGCGACGAUACAUAGCCGACCUGAGAGGGUGAUCGGCCACACUGGGACUGAGACACGGCCCAGACUCCUACGGGAGGCAGCAGUAGGGAAUCUUCGGCAAUGGACGGAAGUCUGACCGAGCAACGCCGCGUGAGUGAAGAAGGUUUUCGGAUCGUAAAGCUCUGUUGUAAGAGAAGAACGAGUGUGAGAGUGGAAAGUUCACACUGUGACGGUAUCUUACCAGAAAGGGACGGCUAACUACGUGCCAGCAGCCGCGGUAAUACGUAGGUCCCGAGCGUUGUCCGGAUUUAUUGGGCGUAAAGCGAGCGCAGGCGGUUAGAUAAGUCUGAAGUUAAAGGCUGUGGCUUAACCAUAGUACGCUUCGGAAACUGUUUAACUUGAGUGCAAGAGGGGAGAGUGGAAUUCCAUGUGUAGCGGUGAAAUGCGUAGAUAUAUGGAGGAACACCGGUGGCGAAAGCGGCUCUCUGGCUUGUAACUGACGCUGAGGCUCGAAAGCGUGGGGAGCAAACAGG